rnacentral:rRNA from 1 species
UACGUAGGUGGCAAGCGUUGUCCGGAUUUAUUGGGUUUAAAGGGUGCGUAGGCGGCCUUAUAAGUCAGUGCUGAAAUAUCCCGGCUUAACCGGGAGGGUGGCAUUGAUACUGUAGGGCUUGAGUGUAGUCGAGGUAGGCGGAAUUGACGGUGUAGCGGUGAAAUGCUUAGAUAUCGUCAAGAACACCGAUAGUGUAGACAGCUUACUAGGCUACAGCUGACGCUGAGGCACGAAAGUGUGGGGAUCAAACAGG